UACGUAGGGGGCAAGCGUUGUCCGGAUUCAUUGGGCGUAAAGAGCGUGUAGGCGGCCAAGCAGGUCCGUUGUGAAAACUGGAGGCUUAACCUCCAGACGUCGACGGAAACCGCGUGGCUAGAGUCCGGAAGAGGAGAGUGGAAUUCCUGGUGUAGCGGUGAAAUGCGCAGAUAUCAGGAAGAACACCCGUGGCUAAGGCGGCUCUCUAGUACGGUACUGACGCUGAGACGCGAAAGCGUGGGGAGCGAACAGG
rnacentral:rRNA from 1 species